GUAGGUGGCAAGCGUUAUCCGGAAUUACUGGGCGUAAAGCGUACGUAGGCGGUUCGGAAAGUCUGUCGUGAAAUCUCUCGGCUUAACUGGGAGCGGUCGAUCGAAACUUCCGGACUUGAGGAGCGUAGAAGUGAGCGGAAUUCCCGGUGUAGCGGUGAUAUGCGUAGAUAUCGGGAGGAACACCAGUGGCGAAAGCGGCUCACUAGGCGCCACCUGACGCUGAGGUACGAAAGCGUGGGGAGCGAACCGGAUUAGAUACCCGGGUAGUCCACGCCGUAAACGAUGGAUGCUAGACGUGGGGGGUAAUCGACCCCUUCUGUGUCGAAGCUAACGCAUUAAGCAUCCCGCCUGGGGACUACGGCCGCAAGGCUAAAACUCAAAGGAAUUGACGGGGGCCCGCACAAGCAGCGGAGCGUGUGGUUUAAUUCGAUGCGACGCGAAGAACCUUACCUGGACUUGACAUGCUUCGGACCGCGGUUGAAAGAUCGCCUUCCCUUCGGGGCCGUUGCACAGGUGCUGCACGGCUGUCGUCAGCUCGUGCCGUGAGGUGUUGGGUUAAGUCCCGCAACGAGCGCAACCCUCGCCGUUAGUUGUAUUUUUCUAGCGGGACCGCUGCGGAUAACGCAGAGGAAGAUGGGGACGACGUCAAGUCAGCGUGGCCCUUACGUCCAGGGCUACACACACGCUACAAUGGUCGGUACAACGGGUCUGCGACACCGCGAGGUGAAGCUAAUCCCUUAAAGCCAGCCUCAGUUCAGAUUGCAGGCUGAAACUCGCCUGCAUGAAGUUGGAGUUGCUAGUAACCGCAGGUCAGCACACUGCGGUGAAUACGUUCUCGGGCCUU
rnacentral:rRNA from 1 species